rnacentral:rRNA from 1 species
CUGGCUCAGAACGAACGCUGGCGGCAUGGAUUAGGCAUGCAAGUCGAACGCUCACCGCAAGGUGGGAGUGGCGGAAGGGUGAGGAACACGUGAGUAAUCUACCUCCAAGUUGGGAAUAACAGUUGGAAACGACUGCUAAUACCGAAUGUGGCUGUUGGACCGCAUGGUUUGACGGCUAAAGAUUUAUCGCUUGGAGAUGAGCUCGCGUCCCAUUAGCUAGUUGGUGAGGUAACGGCUCACCAAGGCGACGAUGGGUAGCUGGUCUGAGAGGAUGGUCAGCCACACUGGGACUGAGACACUGCCCAGACUCCUACGGGAGGCUGCAGUCGAGAAUCUUGGGCAAUGCGCGAAAGCGUGAACCCCAGCAAUGCCGCGUGCGGGAUGAAGGUCUUCGGAUUGUAAACCGCUGUCACUCGGGACGAACAAAAUGACGGUACCGAGGGAGGAAGCCACGGCUAACUACGUGCCAGCCGCGGC